GGGUUGUGAGGUUAAGCGACUAAGCGUACACGGUGGAUGCCCUGGCAGUCAGAGGCGAUGAAGGACGUGCUAAUCUGCGAUAAGCGCCGGUAAGGUGAUAUGAACCGUUAUAACCGGCGAUUUCCGAAUGGGGAAACCCAGUGUGACUCGUCACACUAUCAUUAACUGAAUCCAUAGGUUAAUGAGGCGAACCGGGGGAACUGAAACAUCUAAGUACCCCGAGGAAAAGAAAUCAACCGAGAUUCCCCCAGUAGCGGCGAGCGAACGGGGAGGAGCCCAGAGCCUGAAUCAGCAUGUGUGUUAGUGGAAGCGUCUGGAAAGGCGCGCGAUACAGGGUGACAGCCCCGUACACAAAAGCGCAUGUGCUGUGAGCUCGAUGAGUAGGGCGGGACACGUGGUAUCCUGUCUGAAUAUGGGGGGACCAUCCUCCAAGGCUAAAUACUCCUGACUGACCGAUAGUGAACCAGUACCGUGAGGGAAAGGCGAAAAGAACCCCGGCGAGGGGAGUGAAAAAGAACCUGAAACCGUGUACGUACAAGCAGUGGGAGCACCCUUUGGGGUGUGACUGCGUACCUUUUGUAUAAUGGGUCAGCGACUUAUAUUCUGUAGCAAGGUUAACCGAAUAGGGGAGCCGGAGGGAAACCGAGUCUUAACCGGGCGUUAAGUUGCAGGGUAUAGACCCGAAACCCGGUGAUCUAGCCAUGGGCAGGUUGAAGGUUGGGUAACACUAACUGGAGGACCGAACCGACUAAUGUUGAAAAAUUAGCGGAUGACCUGUGGCUGGGGGUGAAAGGCCAAUCAAACCGGGAGAUAGCUGGUUCUCCCCGAAAGCUAUUUAGGUAGCGCCUCGUGAAUUCAUCUCCGGGGGUAGAGCACUGUUUCGGCUAGGGGGCCAUCCCGGCUUACCAACCCGAUGCAAACUGCGAAUACCGGAGAAUGUUAUCACGGGAGACACACGGCGGGUGCUAACGUCCGUCGUGAAGAGGGAAACAACCCAGACCGCCAGCUAAGGUCCCAAAGUCAUGGUUAAGUGGGAAACGAUGUGGGAAGGCCCAGACAGCCAGGAUGUUGGCUUAGAAGCAGCCAUCAUUUAAAGAAAGCGUAAUAGCUCACUGGUCGAGUCGGCCUGCGCGGAAGAUGUAACGGGGCUAAACCAUGCACCGAAGCUGCGGCAGCGACACUCAGGUGUCGUUGGGUAGGGGAGCGUUCUGUAAGCCUGCGAAGGUGGCCUGUGAGGGUUGCUGGAGGUAUCAGAAGUGCGAAUGCUGACAUAAGUAACGAUAAAGCGGGUGAAAAGCCCGCUCGCCGGAAGACCAAGGGUUCCUGUCCAACGUUAAUCGGGGCAGGGUGAGUCGACCCCUAAGGCGAGGCCGAAAGGCGUAGUCGAUGGGAAACGGGUUAAUAUUCCCGUACUUGGUGUUACUGCGAAGGGGGGACGGAGAAGGCUAUGUUGGCCGGGCGACGGUUGUCCCGGUUUAAGCGUGUAGGUGUGUGUUCCAGGUAAAUCCGGUUCACUUUAACACUGAGGCGUGACGACGAGGCACUACGGUGCUGAAGCAACAAAUGCCCUGCUUCCAGGAAAAGCCUCUAAGCAUCAGGUAACAUCAAAUCGUACCCCAAACCGACACAGGUGGUCAGGUAGAGAAUACCAAGGCGCUUGAGAGAACUCGGGUGAAGGAACUAGGCAAAAUGGUGCCGUAACUUCGGGAGAAGGCACGCUGACACGUAGGUGAAGUGAUUUACUCAUGGAGCUGAAGUCAGUCGAAGAUACCAGCUGGCUGCAACUGUUUAUUAAAAACACAGCACUGUGCAAACACGAAAGUGGACGUAUACGGUGUGACGCCUGCCCGGUGCCGGAAGGUUAAUUGAUGGGGUCAGCGCAAGCGAAGCUCCUGAUCGAAGCCCCGGUAAACGGCGGCCGUAACUAUAACGGUCCUAAGGUAGCGAAAUUCCUUGUCGGGUAAGUUCCGACCUGCACGAAUGGCGUAAUGAUGGCCAGGCUGUCUCCACCCGAGACUCAGUGAAAUUGAACUCGCUGUGAAGAUGCAGUGUACCCGCGGCAAGACGGAAAGACCCCGUGAACCUUUACUAUAGCUUGACACUGAACAUUGAGCCUUGAUGUGUAGGAUAGGUGGGAGGCUUUGAAGUGUGGACGCCAGUCUGCAUGGAGCCGGCCUUGAAAUACCACCCUUUAAUGUUUGAUGUUCUAACGUGGACCCGUGAUCCGGGUUGCGGACAGUGUCUGGUGGGUAGUUUGACUGGGGCGGUCUCCUCCUAAAGAGUAACGGAGGAGCACGAAGGUUGGCUAAUCCUGGUCGGACAUCAGGAGGUUAGUGCAAUGGCAUAAGCCAGCUUGACUGCGAGCGUGACGGCGCGAGCAGGUGCGAAAGCAGGUCAUAGUGAUCCGGUGGUUCUGAAUGGAAGGGCCAUCGCUCAACGGAUAAAAGGUACUCCGGGGAUAACAGGCUGAUACCGCCCAAGAGUUCAUAUCGACGGCGGUGUUUGGCACCUCGAUGUCGGCUCAUCACAUCCUGGGGCUGAAGUAGGUCCCAAGGGUAUGGCUGUUCGCCAUUUAAAGUGGUACGCGAGCUGGGUUUAGAACGUCGUGAGACAGUUCGGUCCCUAUCUGCCGUGGGCGCUGGAGAACUGAGGGGGGCUGCUCCUAGUACGAGAGGACCGGAGUGGACGCAUCACUGGUGUUCGGGUUGUCAUGCCAAUGGCACUGCCCGGUAGCUAAAUGCGGAAGAGAUAAGUGCUGAAAGCAUCUAAGCACGAAACUUGCCCCGAGAUGAGUUCUCCCUGAGACUUAGAGUCUCCUGAAGGAACGUUGAAGACGACAACGUUGAUAGGCCGGGUGUGUAAGCGCAGCGAUGCGUUGAGCUAACCGGUACUAAUGAACCGUGAGGCUUAACCUUACAACGCCGAAG
rnacentral:rRNA from 1 species